rnacentral:lncRNA from 1 species
CAGAAAAGGCGAUCAGAAGGUGUUUCUCACAAGCUCUCUCAGCAGCUUCUCUCCAGCCCCGAGGAUAAAGUCCGAUGGUUAAUUGCAGGCGCUGUUCCCAGAGAGACGGUGUGCCGCCCCCGACCCGCCCUCAGUUUCUAAGAAAGAUGUUCUGAGACGACCACUUUUGACCCUUUAUCUUCCCCAUCGGGGUUCUCUAGAGGUCCUGGGGAAGACCUCGGUCACUUAGUCUGAGUUCAACCAGACCAGGAACAAGACUGGACUAAAAACAGUCAAUGGCACAGCUGGGCUAGUGGAUAAGACAGUACGAGAGAAUUCCAGCGAUCCUGUACUUUGUGUAACCAUCCUGCCCUGGCCCCCAGCUACCAUCACCCCUUAAGCCAGACCUGAGAAUCUGCAGAAACAAAUUCAAGCUGGCUUGAAUUUGUUGUUCCUUGAGGAACCACAAAAUAGUGCAUCUGGUGAAGGGAUCUGGACAGACGGACGUCCUAGGAUUAGGAGAGAAGAAAGGUCUCCACUGAAGCAGUCAGCGAGCUCCCUCCAGGACACAAGAGUUUUGCAUUCUGGAGGAGUUCCAGAGUACACCAGCCUGCCAUAGCAGUCAAGGUGGCAGGAGCUUGCAGCAGUCUGUCCCAUUGUAUCCAGCCAGGAAGAAGAAAGCUAUGAAUGUUCAAGCACAUUGGAAGAGGUUUCGGAGUUGAAUGAACCAGAACUUAGGGGAAAACAUUCGAUUUUAGCAGCAACAGAAGACUCUAUCUAUCCACACGGCACUUGUCCCUCAGGCUUGAAGAGAUUAGAAGCUAAUAAUUUAUAUUGAAAUCCAAAGUCCUAUUUCUGGUCUCUGUAUUUUGACGGACAGUUCUGAAAAUCCAGACUGAUUUGAAAACCGAGAACUGUUUAAGGACAUCAGCAGUAAUUCCUCCAUUAGAGGCUAAGAAAGGAGAGAGUGGGGGUCCCAAAGCCAGGGAGGGGCAGGGUCCCCAGGAAAGCCACGCCCCUUCCUCUCACCACCACUUCUAAU